rnacentral:lncRNA from 1 species
UCGGAGAGGCCGGGAAGGUGGCGGCGCCCGGCCGGCUCUGCGGCCCGCCCCGCCGCCGCGGCCCCUUUAAGGCUUCCGGCCCCGCCCCCGCCCCGCCCCCGCCCCGCCCUCCGGGCCCGGGCCGCCCCGCCCCGCCCCGCCCCCGCCGCCCCGCCUCACCUGCCGCUCCCCACCCGGCCUCUGCGGCUCAGGCCCGCGAGUCCCGGGCGGGGGCCGGGAGCGGGGGCUCGGGGGAUGCUGGAGCGAGAGGUGCUGGUACGGGACCAGGUCGCACGAGCCCGACCUCACUUCCAGGCUGGCCCCGCCAACGGGCGGGCGUGUGACUCGGCAUGCAUUGCUUCUCAUCUUUUGGUCUCAGUGUCCUCACCCAUAAAGUGAGAUAACCAUCACCUCGUGCAACUGCUUUAAAAAUGAUAACGUAGCCCGGCACAUGGUGAGUUCUGGAUCAGGAGGUGCCAUGAAGGUGACAGUGAGCGCGAUCCCACAGUCGCUGCUCUUUUGAUCUGGGCCAGCCCGUGGUUUGCUCCGGGGGACUGCGGGAGCUGGGAGGGUGCCGAUGGGUGGCGGAAGGAGGAGGAUCCUUUGAGGGCCUGAAAAGGGGAAGGUGAGAGGGAAGGGGGCCGGUGAUGAGGUGCUGUGGGAGUGUCCUACUUUGCUCUGCUCUCACCAAAUAAGGUGAGGCUGAAAGGGUAAAUUAGGGAAGAGGAAUAAAGGAGGAACUGAAGAUAGGGUUGCCAAACCCGGACAUCUGGAGACCAGAGGGCCACCCUUGCUCCAGUAGCCCAGAGUCUCUUCCCUGCCCUUUAUCCCUGGGGGCUUCCAGUCAUUCACUUCCUUCUUCCAGAUGUCCCUUGGAUGGGCAGUUUCCCUUCAUUCCCAGGUCCUGCUGACUGCAGGACUUCACUCACAUUUCCCCCCAUGGUUUUGCUUCCAGGGGGACCAGGUGGUGACUUGGUUAAGGUGUCUCUUCCAUAGCCCCCCGGCAGAAACCUGGGUACAUGCACCCCAAGUGCUCAGGAAGUGCUGUGGAAGUGAAGAGAGAGUGUGCAGUUUAUUCUGGCCAACCAGGAGCACACAGUGUUUCCUUUUACCCUGGAGGACAUUACAAGAUGCAUUAUGCCUCAGGUUUGCAACUGAGGGUGGCUACCAUGCGGGAAAGACCUAUUCCAUACAUUGUAAAUAUGCAAUGGUGAUAAAAAGGAGGCACCAGACAGAUGCAAGCCUUCACCUUUCCAGAAUCGGUUUCAUGACAUACAAGAAGAAAGCAGAAGUUCUGAGGCAUUUAUUCCUUCUUGAAUCGUCCCAUUGGAGCUACCCCCUCAGGGUCUUGUUCUCCUUCCAGCCUCUUCCAUGUAAGCCAUGA